GAAAGCUCUCCUACAUUAUAAUGAAGAGGCUGUCCAGAUAAAUCCCAAGUGCUUUUACACACCUAAGUGCCACCAAGAUAGAAAUGAUUUGCUCAACAGUGCUCUGGACAUAAAAGAAUUCUUCGAUCACAAAAAUGGAACCCCCUUUUCAUGCUUCUACAGUCCAGCCAGCCAAUCUGAAGAUGUCAUUCUUAUAAAAAAGUAUGACCAAAUGGCUAUCUUCCACUGUUUAUUUUGGCCUUCACUGACUCUGCUAGGUGGUGCCCUGAUUGUUGGCAUGGUGAGAUUAACACAACACCUGUCCUUACUGUGUGAAAAAUAUAGCACUGUAGUCAGAGAUGAGGUAGGUGGAAAAGUACCUUAUAUAGAACAGCAUCAGUUCAAACUGUG
rnacentral:lncRNA from 1 species